rnacentral:rRNA from 1 species
AUUGAACGCUGGCGGCAUGCCUAACACAUGCAAGUCGAGCGGAGCGGGGGACGGGUGCGUAAGGCCAAGGUAUCUGACUGGUAGUGGGGGAUAACGUCCGGAAACGGGAGCUAAUACCGCAUACUAUCAGAUGUGCCUCGGUCGGAUGAGAUAGUUGGUGGGGUAAAGGCCUACCAAGGCGACGAUCCGUAACUGGUCUGAGAGGAUGAUCAGUCACACUGGAACUGAGACACGGUCCAGACUCCUACGGGAGGCAGCAGUGGGGAAUAUUGGACAAUGGGCGAAAGCCUGAUCCAGCCAUGCCGCGUGUGUGAAGAAGGUCUUCGGAUUGUAAAGCACUUUAAGUUGAGAGGCGUUACCAACAGAAUAAGCACCGGCUAACUUCGUGCCAGCAGCCGCGGUAAUAC